AGAUGGCUGCUAAAUGGGGCAAGGAGGCGGUGGGGGGCAAGAUGGUGGUAGGUAAAAUGGCUGCCAUGGGGGCAAGAUGGCUGCCUUGGGGGCAAGGUGGGGGGGCAAGAUGGCUGCUGUGGGGCAAGAUGGCUGCCAUGGGGCGAGGUGGUGGGGGGGCAAGAUGGCCGCCACUGGCAAGGUGGGGCCCAAGAUGGCGGCCGUGGGGCUGUGUGGGGCCGCGGGCGCUGAGCCGUGCCCCCCCAGGAGCGAGGCGGACAUGACGGCCUGGAUCUCCCGCCUCAACCUGGCGGCCGCCCUGCUCUCCUCGCCGCCGUUCCCCGCCGCCGUCGGCUCCCAGCGCCGCUUCGCGCGGCCCAUCCUGCCGGCUGCGCCCAGCCGCUGCUCGCCGGUGAGUGGGGGGGCGGGGGGACGGCAUGGGGUCACUAUGGGGACAGCAUGGGGACAUUAUGGGGACGCUUUGGGAUCACUAUGGGGUCACCAUUUAGACAACCAUGGGGACUCUGUGGGGACUCUAUGGGUCACUAUGGGGACUGUAUGGGGAUACCAAGGGGACUCUAUGGGGCCACUAUGGGGACACCAUGGGGAUGCUUUGAGGACUCUAUGGGGACGCUAUGGGGCCAAUAUGGGGUCGCUAUGGGGUUGCUAUGGGGUUGCUAUGGGGUCCCCAUGUAGACAACCAUAGGGAUUCUAUGGGGACUCUAUGGGGAUGCUAUGGGGCCACUAUGGGGACGCUUUGGGGUUACUAUGGGGACUCUAUGGGGAUUCUUUGAGGACUCUAUGGGGUUGCUAUGGGGUCACUAUGUAGACAACCAUAGGGAUUCUAUGGGGACACCAUGGAGAUGCUUUGAGGACUCUAUGGGGUCGCUGUGGGGUCACCAUGUAGACAACCAUAGGGAUUCUAUGGGGACUCUAUGGGGCCACUAUGGGGACACCAUGGGGAUGCUUUGAGGACUCUAUAGGGGUGAUAUGGGGCCAAUAUGGGGACGCUAUGGGGAUACCAAGGGGAGUCUAUGGGGACAAUAUGGGGAUACUUUGAGGACUCUAUGGGGAUGCUAUGGGGCCACUAUGGGGUCACCAUAUAGACAACCAUGGGAACUCUAUGGGGCCACUAUGGGGACACCAUGGGGAUGCUUUGAGGACUCUCUGGGGGUGCUGUAGGGCCAAUAUGGGGUCGCUAUGGGGACUCUAUGGGGAUGCUUUGAGGAGUCUAUGGGGGUGAUAUGGGGCCAAUA
ensembl:lncRNA